rnacentral:rRNA from 1 species
UACGUAGGGUGCAAGCGUUGUCCGGAAUUAUUGGGCGUAAAGAGCUCGUAGGCGGUCUGUCGCGUCGGCUGUGAAAUCCCGAGGCUCAACCUCGGGUCUGCAGUCGAUACGGGCAAACUUGAGUGUUGCAGGGGAGACUGGAAUUCCUGGUGUAGCGGUGAAAUGCGCAGAUAUCAGGAGGAACACCGGUGGCGAAGGCGGGUCUCUGGGCCGAUACUGACGCUGAGGAGCGAAAGCGUGGGGAGCGAACAGG